rnacentral:rRNA from 1 species
UACGUAGGGUGCAAGCGUUGUCCGGAAUUAUUGGGCGUAAAGAGCUCGUAGGCGGUUUGUCGCGUCUGCUGUGAAAACCCGAGGCUCAACCUCGGGCCUGCAGUGGAUACGGGCAGACUAGAGUGCGGUAGGGGAGAUUGGAAUUCCUGGUGUAGCGGUGGAAUGCGCAGAUAUCAGGAGGAACACCGAUGGCGAAGGCAGAUCUCUGGGCCGUAACUGACGCUGAGGAGCGAAAGCAUGGGGAGCGAACAGG